CAGCCGUAAACAAUGUGCGUUAGGUGUGUCGGUAACCACGCGUUACUGAUGCGCCGAAGAGAAAUCGUGAAACGCACCACCUGGGAAGUACGGUCGCAAGGCUGAAACUUAAAGGAAUUGGCGGGGGGAGGCACCACAACAGGUGGAGCCUGCGGUUUAAUUGGAUUCAACGCCGGACAUCUCACCGGAUAAGACAGCUGAAUGAUUGUCAAUCUGAAGGUUUUACAUGACUAGCUGAGAGGAGGUGCAUGGCGUCAGUGACU
rnacentral:rRNA from 1 species